UACGUAGGGUGCGAGCGUUAAUCGGAAUUACUGGGCGUAAAGCGUGCGCAGGCGGUGAUGUAAGACAGGUGUGAAAUCCCCGGGCUUAACCUGGGAACUGCAUUUGUGACUGCAUCGCUGGAGUGCGGCAGAGGGGGAUGGAAUUCCGCGUGUAGCAGUGAAAUGCGUAGAUAUGCGGAGGAACACCGAUGGCGAAGGCAAUCCC
rnacentral:rRNA from 1 species